AUAUGCUCGAACGUUUCUGAUGGAAAGUACAGUUACGCUAUACGCAUAUUCUGUGAGCAGGAAGCAGGGCUCGCAGACUGCGCUCUGGGGGCGCCGAUGUCGGAUUACUGGUGGUGGUAAGGCCUACCAGCGACGAUCCGUACGGUCUGAAGGAUGAUCGCCACACUGGGACUGAACACGGCAACUCUACGGAGGCACAUGGGGAAUUUGGACAAUGGGCGCAAGCUGAUCCAGCCAUGCCGCGUGAGUGAAGAAGGCCUUCGGGUUGUAAAGCUCUUUCGGCCGGGAAGAAAUCGCAUGGGCGAAUACCUGUGUGGAUGACGGUACCGGAACAAAGAAGCACCGGCUAACUACGUGCCAGCAGCCGCGGUAAUACGUAGGUGCGAGCGUUAUCGGAAUUACUGGGCGUAAAGCGUGCGCAGGCGGUUGGGUAAGUCAGAUGUGAAAUCCCCGGGCUCAACCUGGGAACUGCAUUUGAGACUGCCCAGCUGGAGUUUGGCAGAGGGGGGUGGAAUUCCACGUGUAGCAGUUGGAAAUGCGUAAGAUGUUGGAGGGAACCACCGAUGGCGAAGGCAGACCCCUGGGGCCAAUACUGACGCU
rnacentral:rRNA from 1 species